AUAUUUUUUUAUCUUUCUAACUUUAGUAUUUAUUUUUAAUUUUUGUUUAUGUGUUAAGAAGUAUGUGUUCUCUACCUAACUGUGUGGGAGACGACAUGUUAGAAGAAGUUGACGAGUUCGAAUAAAUAUGUAGGAAACUUUUACCAAAACUCGGAUAUAACUUAGGGAGAUGGUUGUGCCAGCAUACUAGACAACACUCAACUUCUCACUCUUUCUUUUGACAAAGUCUCUGGUUCUGGUUUUCAAUCCAAGAAUAAAUAUCUCUUCGAAAACAUUGGUGUGCAACUUAAGCUUGUUCCAGAAAACUCUAUUGGCGCAGUCACAGCGUCCUAUUUACCAUCAAAAGCAUGUGGCGUUGCUUGGUAUUCCCAGCAGUUGGAUUCAACAAGCCAAUAGAGAUUGAGUGCACUACAUCUUAAUCAAUCUUUCUAUAUUCAUAUUGCAACUAUAUAUUUGAAAGAUUUAAUUUUUCCUUUUUCUUUUUAGUUAGGCCCUUUUAAAUUCUUUUACUUGUAGUUUUAGCAUGAAGAAAUGCCAUGGUAGAUCCUUUGUAUUGAAGUUGUAUAUUAUUUGUAGUAGUGUUGAUGAAAUUAAUGUUGAAGAGAUGAUUGUAACAUAGAAGUGGGAGUUGGAUAUAUAAAG